rnacentral:misc_RNA from 1 species
GAUGAAGAACGUAGCGAAAUGCGAUAAGUAAUGUGAAUUGCAGAAUUCAGAGAAUCAUCGAAUCUUUGAACGCACAUUGCGCCCGCCAGUAUUCUGGCGGGCAUGCCUGUCUGAGCGUCAUUUCAACCCUCAGCCCCCGCUCGCGGGGCGCUGGCGUUGGGGAUCGGCCGUCCUCGCGGCGGCCGGCCCCGAAACACAGUGGCGGUCUCUCGCGGACUCCCCUGCGUAGUAGCACUACCUCGCAGAAGGGACGAGCGGGCUGACCACGCCGUAAAACCCCCCACUUCUCCAGGUUGACCUCAGAUCAGGUAGGAAUACCCGCUGAACUUAAGCAUAUCAAUAAGCGGAGGA